rnacentral:rRNA from 1 species
GACGAACGCUGGCGGCGUGCUUAACACAUGCAAGUCGAACGGAAAGGCCCUGCUUGCAGGGUACUCGAGUGGCGAACGGGUGAGUAACACGUGGGUGAUCUGCCCUGCACUUCGGGAUAAGCUUGGGAAACUGGGUCUAAUACCGGAUAGGAACCAUCUUUAGUGUGGUGGUUGGAAAGUUUUUUCGGUGUAGGAUGAGCUCGCGGCCUAUCAGCUUGUUGGUGGGGUAAUGGCCUACCAAGGCGGCGACGGGUAGCCGGCCUGAGAGGGUGUACGGCCACAUUGGGACUGAGAUACGGCCCAGACUCCUACGGGAGGCAGCAGUGGGGUAUAUUGCACAAUGGGCGCAAGCCUGAUGCAGCGACGCCGCGUGGGGGAUGAAGGCCUUCGGGUUGUAAACUCCUUUCGCUAGGGACGAAGCGUUGUUGUGACGGUACCUAGAUAAGAAGCACCGGCUAACUACGUG